ensembl:lncRNA
UACCAGGCAGUCCGCUUUCAGUCGUGCCUAAGAACAGCCCUUAGCAGUGGUAUGUUGGCCAUAUACCACACCCCCUCUGGCCUUAUUGCUUAAAUAUAAGAGGCUACUCUGGUGAAUGUUUGUGAUGAAUGGAAAGUGGAUUAUCUACUUUACACACAAUCUCUGCUCUACUUGUUCAGCUUCCCAGAGAAGAGGCUACACCGGAGAAUAUUUGUGAUGAAUAAAGUGUGGUGCUCGUUUUAUGAAGUUAGAUCAAAAAACUGAUUCAAUUUAGGAUCAUAGGCUGAGUUUACACAGGCAGCCAAGAUCUGAUGUGAAAAAAAUGUCAUGUGAUUGGUCAAAAGACCAAUGAAUGGAGAAAAAAACCUCAAUUGGGCUGCCUGUGUAAACGCAGUCAUAAUGGCAGUAUUCUAUAUUUGUGCUCACCCUCUUCACAUUUCUCAACAUGAGUUUAAGAAAUAUAUAAUUCUUCAAGUCUUAGAUCUUGGGUUAUGGAGAGUGUUAUUUUGAAGUAGCCUACAGUGUUGUGAAUGAUGUACAGUGUUAUUUUGAAGUAGCCUACAGUGUUGUGAAUUAUGUACAGUGAAUGUAUGAGAAUGUCAGAACAGUUCCCACAGCAGCGGCAGAUCACCAUGACUGAAGUGGUAGCAGGGAAGACUGUGGCAAGCGCUGAAAGAAUCAAGAUUUGUGAAGAUUGGGUACACACUUGCACAACAGUCAACAUGCCCCUUUCCAAAAGUUGAUCACCCCUCAAUGAGGCAGUUUCUGAAGGAGAAAGUCAUCAAUGGAGGUGCCGUCCCUGGAUACCAACAACUACAGGAAAAGUACUCGGGAGACGUCUAUGAAGGAAGAACUCGAGCAACAUCUUGCAGGGAAGUGUCAGUGGCUAUCAUCUUUGAUGAAACCCCAGAUGUUGAAGGAACAUGUGUACUAAACAUCCUCAUGGUGCCACUUGAAAAGGAUUCCUCGGGGAGAAUGAUUGGCUACCUCGCAGAGACGGUGUUUCUGGAGCAGUGCAAACCAUUCAACAGUUUCCAUGGCGGUGGUGAAAUGUCUACAAGACUACAGUAUCUCCAAUGAUGACGUCUUUGUCUUUGACACAGAGAGAGAGAAAUGCUGCGUACAUGAAGAAAGCCUACAAAAGCUGCACUUCAGUCAUUGUUUCCCCAACUCCCUGCACAUAACAUGCAUGGCUCACAUCAUGAAUCUGAUAGGGAGUGCUUUCCCACAAACCUUUUAAUCAGCUGAACACAUUCAUGCUAAGUUUUUUCGCAGAUAUUUUACCAGACAGGGGCACGCAAAAGAAAAUACCUUACCUUCCUCGCCAACAAACUGGCAGGACGGAAGAGAGCGACUAUGGCUCCCAAUCCAUGUGCAACAUGCUGCCAUGCUGUGUUGUCAUGUGUUGGUACCAUGCUGAGUUGCUGCCAUGCUGUGUUGUCAUGUGUUGCAGCCAUGCUGUGUUGCUGCCAUUCUGUGUUGUCAUGUGUUGCUGCCAUUCUGUGUUGCUGCCAUUCUGUGUUGUCAUGUGUUGCUGCCAUGCUGUGUUGCUGCCAUUCUGUGUUGUCAUGUGUUGCUGCCAUGCUGUGUUGCUG